UAGAGUUUGAUCCUGGCUCAGAUUGAACGCUGGCGGUAUGCUUAACACAUGCAAGUCGAACGGAAACGAUACUAGCUUGCUAGUAGGCGUCGAGUGGCGGACGGGUGAGUAACGCGUAGGAAUCUACCAGAUAGUGGGGGAUAGCCCGCAGAAAUUCGGAUUAAUACCGCAUAAUCUCUACGGAGUAAAGGAGGCCUCUAUUUAUAUGCUUUCGCUAUCUGAUGAGCCUGCGUAAGAUUAGCUAGUUGGUGAGGUAAAAGCUCACCAAGGCAACGAUCUUUAGCUGGUCUGAGAGGAUGAUCAGCCACACUGGGACUGAGACACGGCCCAGACUCCUACGGGAGGCAGCAGUGGGGAAUAUUGGACAAUGGGGGCAACCCUGAUCCAGCAAUACCGCGUGUGUGAAGAAGGCCUGAGGGUUGUAAAGCUCUUUCGAGUUGU
rnacentral:rRNA from 1 species